AUAUUUACCUGGCAGGGGAGAUACCAUGAUCACGAAGGUGGUUUUCCCAGGGCAAGGCUUAUUCAUUGCACUCCAGAUGUGCUGACCCCUGUGAUUUCCCCAAAUGUGGGAAACCGGACUGCAUAAUUGUGGUAGUGGGGGACUCUGUUCAUGCUUUCCGCUG
rnacentral:snRNA from 1 species